CAUGUAAAAUGAGAAAAACUGUAAAAACUUUAGUUCUCAUUGAAAUGAAACUUUUAAUUUUACUUCUUAUAUCGAUUUAAUUAAGUAUAGACAUUAGCGCGUUUUACUAUAUUAAUUUGUACGUGUAUUUGAAUUGGCAUACCUUUGAUUCAACGCUAAAAAAUUAUUUUCAAUCGAUCGCCGGUUUCACAUAAAACAAAACAAAAAAAAAAAAAAAAAAACCUAAAAACAUCUCAAAAACCAAUAAAUUACUCAAACGUACCGAAACACGCGACACGAAAUUUAUUACACAUUCGGUUUUGUCGUAAGGCGAAACAGACUUCUAGACGUUUCUACGGAUUUCGGCCGGAAAGGGCCGAUUUUUUAUACGAAUGCGCAAAACAAAUGCCUAAAAUUGAAACGGUAGAAAUCCUACAACGGUAUACAGUAUAAUAAAAGUUACGAAAAAAUUUAAAAAAAAAAAAAAAAAAAAACAAAAAUCGUACCUACAUAAACUCGCGAACUCGUUAAAUUCGUUCGAGUUAAUAUUAUCAUAAUUCAUACAUGCUCGUCCGCCUACGCGAUUUUUCUCGAAUAUAAACUUUCCCCCGUCAUGCCGGUAGGUAUAAGUUAUAACUUUCAAUAACAAUAAUAAUAAUAAUAUUACUGUAGGGGUAGUACGACGGCGCCGAGUUAUAAUUUAUUAUGAAUCGCGACCGAACGAAACACGCGGAAGAAGAAUAUUAAUCCGUCUCGACGCGUAGUUUUCCAUAACGUCGUAAUAAAGUAUAAUACAAUAUUUUUCAGUAUUAUUUGCGUUAUCCGGAAAUGUAGCGGCCGGGGCGUUUCGCGUUCGUUAUUAUAAAUAUUUUUCUUCUCCGCCAGACUCUGGAUAAAAUCCAAUCGCGCGGAUAAACGAACAAAGUAAAAAAAAAAAAAAUGAAAAAAAAAAAAAAAUAAAUAAAUAAGUCGACGCUGCUCACCGGUACAGGACACGCCGUUGGCGUAGUCAUCGGGAAACGUAGGUUAUUAUACAGGGUGACUUAAUUCGUAUUACACGGUCGGCGACGAUAAAUCACCGCGAACCGAAGAAACGGCGGUUCGAAAUAGAAAGAAAAAAAAGCACCUAAUAUAGCCGAACUAAUGAAUAUUUCCGAUAAAUGAAUUCCGCGUAUUUCGCGGUAUCGUGUGAAAAGCGGCGAUAUUUUCCCGUAUAACCCGAGAAAAAGAUUUGAAAAUGAAAAAAAAAAAAAGCCAUAAAAACCGAUUUUUAAUCGGGAUUUUAAUCAGAAAUUUCGCAAUAAGAAAAAAAAAAACUCAAAUACAGAAUCAAAUGGAAAACCCGCAUCAUAUUUUUUAAUGGUAUGACGAAUCCGAAAUGUUUUUACUAAAUAACCGUACGAAUGGUUACGACUUACACCUACCGUUUUCUUCGGCAGGACUGGCGAAGGAUCAGGGUUUUAAAAUACAAAAAAUAAUUAAAAAUAUCUUUACGGGGGUCAAAAACGCUGGUCCUCGGCCCCGUUUAUGUAGCGAAUCCGUAUGCAUUAUGCGUUUUCCAUUCGAGGACCGGGUGCAUAUAACGCAUUAGUCCCUCAUUUUGAAAGAGCAAUGAACUAACGAACAAAAUUUUCGAGAAAAUAUAAUUUAAUAAGAGUCCCAAGAUAAUGGAGAUUAGUGUAGCUAUUGUUAUAGGUAAUUCAAUGUAUAUUUAUAAGCAACGAUACAACGAUACGACCAUUGCUAACGAAAAAACAAUUCUGAACGCAGUUCGGUUGAUGGUGAUGCUUUGUCAAUAUAUGUCACAUUAUGGUAAAAUAAUUAAAUAGGCAUUAUACAUUUUUUUUAAUAAUAUUUGUUUAAUAUUGUACCGGUUUUGCCGAUUUUCCCGAUUUUUCACAUUCGCUGGGAAAAUCAAAAAAUAACUUCCCGAAAGUACAUUCUCAGUUUUACUUUCAGAACAAGUGUUAUCAUUGUAACCUCAAUCAAACCUUUGACCACAAAUAAUACUCUAAGUGACUCCUGUUAAAUAUUCAAUAAUUUCUUAUAAGUCUAUUAACAAUCUUAAAAUAAAAAUAAAAAUAAAAAUAAAAAUUACGUACAAAACUCGCAAAAUUAAAAUGUCUAUAAAUAGCUCAAAAAAAAUGGCUUG
rnacentral:lncRNA from 1 species